rnacentral:rRNA from 1 species
UACGGAGGGUGCGAGCGUUGUCCGGAAUCACUGGGUGUAAAGGGCGCGUAGGCGGCUGGGGAAGUCGGCGGUGAAAGCCCGGAGCUCAACUCCGGGUCGGCCGUCGAGACUCCUCGGCUCGAGCUCACUAGAGGCAGAUGGAAUUCCGCGUGUAGCAGUGAAAUGCGUAGAGAUGCGGAGGAACACCGAUGGCGAAGGCAGCCCCCUGGGCUGACACUGACGCUCAGCACGAAAGCGUGGGGAGCAAACAGG